CUACGGGGUGCUGCAGUGGGGAAUAUUGCACAAUGGAGGAAACUCUGAUGCAGCAACGCCGCGUGGAGGAUGACACUUUUCGGAGCGUAAACUCCUUUUAUAUAGGAAGAAGAUGACGGUACUAUAUGAAUAAGCGCCGGCUAACUCCGUGCCAGCAGCCGCGGUAAUACGGAGGGCGCAAGCGUUACUCGGAAUCACUGGGCGUAAAGAGCGUGUAGGCGGAUUAAAAAGUCAGAAGUGAAAUCCUAUAGCUUAACUAUAGAACUGCUUCUGAAACUCUUAAUCUAGAAUAUGGGAGAGGUAGAUGGAAUUUCUGGUGUAGUGGUAAAAUCCGUAGAGAUCAGAAGGAAUACCGAUUGCGAAGGCGAUCUACUAGAACAUUAUUGACGCUGAGACGCGAAGGCGUGGGGAGCAAACAGGAUUAGAUACCCCGGUAGUC
rnacentral:rRNA from 1 species